ensembl:lncRNA
GUUUUACAAGAUCUUCAUGGCAAAGGAAGAAACCUUUCUCUGCUGCUAUUUAAAAUAAGAUUUUUAUAUGUAUGUAUUAUUUCUCAGUGAUAGUUUAGGGUUCUAAAGUUACCCCCAGAUAUCACAAUCUUGCAAUUGCAGGCAUGCCUACUGAAAUCACUCAACCAAUUGAAGAAACAGAAUGAGAUCUGGAUUAUAGGGUUUCAGAUAAUACCAAGUCCCUUGUGAAAGGUUCUGUAAAGCUGCAGUGAACAAAGGUUAUUAAGUUCCUGCUGUGUUCAAGUUUCCUACAGGUCAGUUUUAAUAAACUGUUUGUUUGUUCAGAAAUGUGCAGCAGCCACGUUAAUCUCCAACCCUUGAAAACUUAAACCGAGCUUUCGCAAAAAAGAGCAUUUGAAAAGAGAAAUAUAUUAGUAUUUAUUUGUAGAUAUUUAAAUAGCCUGUGAUUUAUCCCUUUUCUGUAACAAAAUUGUGAUUAAUUGCAAUGGUUAAAGAUUGUGUUGUACAUUUUUGUGAAGCAACAAUACUUAGAGCAUUUUGUUCUUUAUAAUGUCACUGCAAGAAAAAAUCUUUCAAAGUUUUCUGUCUGAGAGAAAAAGAAACACCUUUCUCUUUAUUGAAAUACAAAAAAACAUCUAUUCUUAUGUUAAUUCUACGUCUGACUUAUAAAUGACCUUUUUUGUCAUUCCUCUACAGGAGUUGAUUGAUUCAUACUACUAGUCUAAAAUGUACAUACAAAUCACAGUGCUAAGAAAAUUUUUGUAAGGUCAAAUAAUGUAAAAUAUAUUAUAAAGUAUUUCACAGUUACUUACAUUAUAUUUCAAUUUAAAUCUAGUCAGGUGUUUUGUAAGGAUAGUAUGCCUUAGACAGAAGUGAGGCACUGACUUUAUCUAUAUAAUUACGUUUAGAAAGGUAAGAAUGUUAAUGUGUUUAUGUAUGUCUGCUCGUGUGCAUACUCUACAGACCAUUUGUAAACUGCCAUAAAGAUUCGUCACCUAAUUAGUUGCUACUGUAUAUUAUUUUUAAAAGAUCCAGAUAGAGGAUACAUUGGCAAAUGUUCAGACCAUCUUUAUGUUAUUACAUCUAAUUGUAAACAUCAACACAUUUAAUUAUCAUGUAAGCAUGAACAAUUAUGUCAUUACGUUGUAAACAUGCAUGAAAGGUUAUGUAUCACUACCAUAAAUUAUAAAAUAUUAUUAAUAUAAUGAAAGAC